CUCAUUUAUGUACUUCCUGGUUCGCCUAAUGGCUGUAACCCUGACUGUUAAUUGAAACAUUUGAAAGAGUCAUGACCAAGUGAAGUCCUCUCAGUGACUGGCAAUGGCAAUAGCCAUGGCUGCUUCCCUUCAAGAUCUCACCUGUAUCACUCCCCCUCUUUCUUCUUCUUCACGGAGAAUUUCACUGCAAAGCACCAGACUCUUCUGCAAAACUCCUCUGAAACACGAGUGUCGUUUCGCUCUCCAAAAUAUUGAACUGGAGACUGCAGAGCCCUCUGAAAUACGAGGCGUGGAUGAUGGGUUAUUAGAGAAGACGAAGAACAAGAAGGAAAGGAAGCGGAAGCCGAGUUUUUUUGAUGAAACAAAAGAGAGAUGGUCUGUUAGGAUUGCCUCCCAAAGACCCAAGCUUCCAUGGGAAGAAGAAAAGGAACAAAACCCAGUUUCGACUUACAAUUUCUCUGCUCUUUCCCUCGGAGAAGAAGAAGAAGAGGUUGGUUUUUUUCCUAAAAAACCGACUGAAUUUCAGCGCCCAUCUCAGCGUUUUCCUGUUAGAAGCCGCCCAUUUGCUGCUCCUUGGGCGAAUGGGCAUUCUUCGCGUUCCGCAUCUCACGGGAAAACCCCUUUCAAUUAUUCAGCUGGUUUUGGAGGCAAGAAAAAUAAAGAACCUUCAAAUACUGAAAUCCCAAAGAAUACGGUAGGGGAAGUUCUCGAAAAACUGAAGAAGAUGGAGUUUGAUAAUGAAGUCGUCAAUGCUUUCUCCUCUAUCAAUGAAGUCAUCGAAGGCAAGACGCAGAGUCCUGAUUCUAAGUUUAACAAUGUAGUCAUCAGGGGCAAGGAGAUUAGUGGUUAUGUGGACAAUGAAUUGGGAAAAAGAGAUAAAAGCUAUAGCCCUCAUUCCAGGGUGAAAGAGAGCCUCAAACAUGGUGAAUUUGGAUCAAGAGGUAAGAGCCAUAGCCUUCAAUCUGGGGUGAAACAGAGUUUGAAAAAUGGUGAAUUGCUGCAAAGAGGUAAGAGUCAUAGCCUUCAUUUUGGGCGGAAACAGAGUGUGAAAAUUGGUGAAUUGGCGCAAAGAGGUAAGAGUCAUAGCCUUCAUUUUGGGGGGAAACAGAGUGUGAAAAAUGGUGAAUUGGCGCAAAGAGGUAAGAGUCAUACCCUUCAUUUUGGGGGGAAACAGAGUGUGAAAAAUGGUGAAUUUGAGCAAAGAGAUAAGAAAGAAGGUGUCAGAACUGGUGAAUCGAAUUUCACAGAUAAGAGUUAUAGCCUUCCAUUUGGGGUUCAAGAUACUGAUAACAAUGGUGAAUUUGGUCUCACAAAUAAGAGCCAUAGCCUUCCAUCUGGGGUGAAAGAUAGUGACAAAACUGAUGAUUCUGGUCUCAGAGUUAAGAGUUACCGCCUUCCAUUUCAGUUUAAAGAGGGUGGUGAUCCCAUUGAGUUUCCGUGGGUGGCGAGGGCUGAAGAGAGGGGGAAUGUGGAGCAGAGAAGAAGCAGAAGCACCACUGCAUUGGCGGAAUCAACCAUUCCUGAGCCUGAGCUCCUCAGGCUUAGAAGCCUGGCUCUACAUAUGAAAGAGAGGAUCAACAUUGGAGUUGCUGGGGUUACGCAGGCAAUUGUCGCUGCAAUACAUGAUAAAUGGAGACAUGUUGAGGUCGUAAAGAUCAAGUUUGAAGGUCCUCCAGCUAUGAAUAUGAAGAGGACCCAUGAAAUAUUGGAGAGGAAAACAGGUGGUCUGGUGAUUUUGAGGUGUGGCAGUUUUGUUGUCCUAUAUAGAGGAAUGGGCUAUGAACUUCCUUGUGUGCAAUCAUAUAGGCAGCACUUGCAUAUUAUUCAUGAUACUCUUCCACAUGAUAUGAUUCCGGCUACCGAUAAUAUUGGUGACACAAAAGUAAAUGCUUUAGUUAGAGCUACAGUAUCAUCUGGCACUAGUUCUCCCACCAAUUAUGACAAGUGUGAAUCCCCUCAUGAAACUGAUAUUGAAAUAAUACUUGAGAGUCUGGGUCCACGGUUUAGGGAUUGGUCAGGAUGCGCUCCAUUGCCUGUUGAUGCUGAUCUGCUACCCCCUGUGUUGCCUGGCUAUAAACCUCCAUUCAGAUUUCUUCCUCAUGGGAUGAGGCAUUGUCUAAAAAACAAGGACAUGACAGCUUUGCGCAGACUUGCAAGGCAAAUGCCUCCUCAUUUUGCCCUAGGAAGAAAUAGGGUACUCCAGGGCUUGGCUGCGGCCAUGGUGAAUCUUUGGGAAACAAGUGUCAUUGCUAAAAUUGCUAUCAAACGUGGCGUACAGAAUACAUGUAAUGAGCGAAUGGCAGAAGAACUUGAGAAAUUAACAGGGGGCAUUCUAGUAUCCAGAAACAAGGAGUACAUAGUUUUUUACAGGGGUAAUGAUUUCUUGUCACCUUCUGUAAAAGAGGUAUUGGUCAACAGGGAGAAAUUGGCAAAAUCCCUACUAGAUGAGGAAGAAAAAGCACGGAUGAAAGCUCAUGCUUCAACUCUUUCAAACACGUCUACUGCUAGAGGACCUCUAGUUGCUGGUACUCUGGAGGAAACUUUAGAGGCUAAGUCUCGAUGGGGUAUGCAACCAAGUACCCAUGAAAGGGAUGAGAUGAAAAGAGAUAUGACCCUGUCUAGGCAUGCCGCUCUUAUCAAACAUCUCGAGAAGAAGCUUGCUCUAGCCAAGAGAAAGGUAUCAAAAGCAGAAAGAGCUUUGUUGAAAGUGCAAGAGGAUCUGAAGCCUGCUGAGCUACCAACAGAUCUAGAAAUAAUAACUGAUGAAGAGAGAAUCACUUUCCGAAAAAUGGGCUUAAGCAUGAAGCCAUACUUGCUUUUGGGUAGGAGAGGUGUUUUUGAUGGAACAGUGGAGAACAUGCACUUGCACUGGAAGUACAGAGAGCUUAUAAAGAUACUGGUGAAGGGCAAGCGUUUCCUGCAGGUCAAACACAUCGCGAUAUCACUUGAGGCUGAAAGUGGAGGUGUAUUGAUAUCUGUGGACAAGACAACCAAAGGUUAUGCAAUUAUUCUUUAUCGAGGAAAGAAUUACCAACGCCCUUCUAUGGUGAGGCCUGGAAAUCUACUAACCAAGCGCAAGGCCUUAGCGCGUUCGGUCGAGCUUCAGAGGCGUGAGGCUCUUAACCAUCACAUAUUAGAUCUUCAGAUGCAAAUAGAGAAGCUACGAUCAGAAUUUGAUCAAAUGAGAACUGUUUGGGAGAAGGAAGGCCAGGAAGACUCAUAUGUAACGUCAGAAGAUGAAAUUUUAUCUGAAGAUGAUGAAGAUUCAGAGGAUGAGGUUUAGGAGCCUAUCUUGAGACUUUGUGAGCAGCUAUGAAGAUGACACUAGAUAUACUCCAUAAAUAUGAGGCCAUCGAUGAUUUUUUGAUACAGCAAAGGAAAGAGUUGAGGCUCAUUUACUGAGUGACAUUUGGGAAGGUUAUUCCUAAUACGACUUUGACCCAGAAGAGGGGAGGAUCACUAUCAUGCACAUCACGAUGGAGCCCAAAAAUCCCUAAGAUGAUUUAGGUAUGUUGCAAUGCAUUGACCAUAGACUGCGUGUUCCAAUUGAUAAUGAGGUUUUCUGGCCUAAAGAGUUGGAUACCUUAUAAUCUGAGCAAUGCUAAUCGUUAGAGGAGUUCGUCUUCAUGAAGGAGGCAAAUAUGUUCAUAGAUCUCAGUGGCAACUUCACAAGAACAAGUCGUUCUCUGUUCAGAUGUUCUAUGGUUAUCCAUGGCACUGUCUAACUGACUAAACGGCUUACACUUUGUUUAACUCAAUUAUGUUUGUUAGGGUGGGGAGCCUCAACUCCACUGCUUGCAUUUAUCCUAUUGAGGAAGUGCGUUUUUCAAUCGGGGUUGCAAUUCACAAAAUUUGCAUGAGAUUGGAAUUUUGCUGCAGAAGAAUGUCAGUGGUUUGUAUGAGACGGCAAUCUUACUUUUAGAAAUAAGAUUUAUUCUACACUGUCCAUUUUCGGAAGAUGGUGUGGAUUUGAUGCAUCUUUUAAAACAAUAUCAAAAUAUGACACAUCUAUUAAGCCUAUCAAAUCUACAUUGUGUACA